AAGGUCCCGGAUGGACAGUUAAGUUGAUCAAACGAGGUGGGAUCGCGGAGACAGCUAGGAUGUUGGCUUGGAAGCAGCCAUUCAUUUAAAGAGUGCGUAACAGCUCACUAGUCGAGCGAUCCCGCGUGGAUAAUACACGGGCAUCAAACUGUCAACCGAAGCCGUGGGGUCAGUGUUGAACUGACCGGUAGGAGAGCAUUCCUGCCAGCGUUGAAGGUCACCCGCGAGAGUGACUGGAGCGGCAUGAAAAGCAAAUGUAGGCAUAAGUAACGAUAAUGGGGGCGAGAACCCCCCACGCCGCAAGACCAAGGAUUCCCCGGCAAUGUCAAUCAGCCGGGGGUCAGCCGGCCUCUAAGGCUAACCCGAAGGGGGACGCCGACGAGAAACGGGUUAACAUUCCCGUGCUUCUCGUCACCGUGACGCGGUGACGGGGUGAUGAAUGGACCGCGCGCUGACGGAAUAGCGCGUUGAAGACCGUACCCUUUGACGGUGGUAGUCAAGCACGCCACCGGAGGCGAAAGUCGAUAGUACCUCGAGGCCUCGGCCGAGGGGAUAGCGUCCAGGCAAUUUACCCCCGAGAAAACCCGCUAAACUUCAAGUGACGAGGAACCGUACUGUAAACGGACACACGUGGUCGGGUAGAACAUACCAAGGCGCUCGAGUGAUUCAUGGUCAAGGAACUAGGCAAAAUAGUCCUGUAACCUCGGGAAAAAGGACGCUCUAGUGAUAGAGCCGCAGAGUAAUGGCCCAGGCGACUGUUUACCAAAAACACAUGGCUAUGCCAAAUCGAAAGAUGACGUAUAUGGCCUGACACCUGCCCGGUGCCGGAAGGUUAAGAGGAGAGCUCAGGGGUGACCCGAAGGUUCAAAUUGAAGCCCCGGUAAACGGCGGCCGUAACUAUAACGGUCCUAAGGUAGCGAAAUUCCUUGUCGGGUAAGUUCCGACCUGCACGAAUGGUGUAACGAUCUGGGCACUGUCUCGACCAUGAGCUCGGUGAAAUUGUAGUUCCGGUGAAGAUGCCGGGUACCCGCGACGGGACGGAAAGACCCCGUGAACCUUUACUGCAGCUUCGCGUUGUUCCCGGGCACGGGACGUGUAGGAUAGGUCGGAGGCAAUGAAGCGGUUUCGCCAGGAAUCGUGGAGCCAUCGUUGAAAUACGACCCUUCUCUUGUCUGGGAUCUAACCCAUGUGAUGGGGACACCGCGUGGUGGGUAGUUUGACUGGGGUGGUCGCCUCCAAAAGCGUAACGGAGGCUUCCAAAGGUACCCUCGGGUUGGUUGGUAAUCAACCUUGGAGUGCAAUGGCACAAGGGUGCUUGACCGGGAGACUUACAAGUCGAUCGGGUGCGAAAGCAGGGCAUAGUGAUCCGGUGAUCCCGCGUGGAAGGGUCAUCGCUCAAAGGAUAAAAGGUACUCCGGGGAUAACAGGCUGAUCGCCCCCAAGAGCUCAUAUCGACGGGGCGGUUUGGCACCUCGAUGUCGGCUCGUCACAUCCUGGGGCUGGAGAAGGUCCCAAGGGUUCGGCUGUUCGCCGAUUAAAGUGGCACGCGAGCUGGGUUCAGAACGUCGUGAGACAGUUCGGUCCCUAUCUGUCGUGGGCGUUGGAGAUUCGAGAGGUCCUGACUCUAGUACGAGAGGACCGGGUUGGACGCGCCGCUAGUGAACCUGUUAUGACGCCAGUCGUACGGCAGGGUAGCCACGCGCGGACGGGAUAAGCGCUGAAAGCAUCUAAGCGCGAAGCCUGCCUCGAGAUGAGAUCUCCUUGCAGGGUCGUCGU
rnacentral:rRNA from 1 species